rnacentral:rRNA from 1 species
AGUGAACGCUGGCGGUAGGCCUAACACAUGCAAGCCGAACGGCAGCACAGUAAGAGCUUGCUCUUACGGGUGGCGAGUGGCGGACGAGUGAGGAAUACAUCGGAAUCUACUUUUUCGUGGGGGAUAACGUAGGGAAACUUACGCUAAUACCGCAUACGACCUACGGGUGAAAGCAGGGGAUCUUCGGACCUUGCGCGAUUGAAUGAGCCGAUGUCGGAUUAGCUAGUUGGCGGGGUAAAGGCCCACCAAGGCGACGAUCCGUAGCUGGUCUGAGAGGAUGAUCAGCCACACUGGAACUGAGACACGGUCCAGACUCCUACGGGAGGCAGCAGUGGGGAAUAUUGGACAAUGGGCGCAAGCCUGAUCCAGCCAUACCGCGUGGGUGAAGAAGGCCUUCGGGUUGUAAAGCCCUUUUGUUGGGAAAGAAAAGCAGCAGGUUAAUACCCCGCUGUUCUGACGGUACCCAAAGAAUAAGCACCGGCUAACUUCGUG